CAGAAUCCGAGACGACGUCGCCGUCGCCGGAGGGGAUCAGGGGAACGGGAACAGGACGUGGCCUGUGGGAGAACGGGAAAAGAUUAGGGUGCUUUUUGCUAAUAUUUGGAAUAAUCGUGAUCCAAAUAUUUUCAUAAUCACCUCUGAAAUGGAUCGCGAUUAAUCGGUGCGAUCCGAUUUAUGAUUUUUUUAAAUAUUUGGAUCACGAUUAAUAGUCGCGAUCCGUUUCAGGGGGCUUUUGCAAAUAUCGGGUAACGAAUGAGGGGGUUUGACGUGAAACAACGUGGAGCUCCA
rnacentral:lncRNA from 1 species